AAGCAGUCUUCGGCGUAUCCAGCAAACGCGAUUCUUUUUUAAGCGCGUUUUAUAUUAUUCUACUCAUAUAAUUUAUCAUUUGCGUCGCUAUAUGAUUUCCUCCUUGUUUCAAGUAGUACACAAAUAAUAAAUAAAAACAACAACUCAGCAUACGCUCAAAAGUAAAUUUACCCAUAAAGUAAACAUAAGAACAGCAACAAGAACAACAACAACAACAGCAGCAGCAACAAUCAGCAGGCCGGUUUAUAUUCUCCAAUCCUUUUCGCAUCCUUGUUGUUGUUGCUCUUUGCCCAAUCAUCAGUAUCUCAGUCUCAUCAAAUGAGCAGCAUAAAGAUAAAAUCUGUAAUCAGCAAUCGAGAAAGCGACGACUAAGAAAAUUCAACAAAGUGCAAGCGAAAAUUGUUCAAAAAAAAAAAAAAAGAAAAAAAUUAAUUUCCCACACUUACUUUAUGUUAAACAUUUUUUCCAAGUGUAAAAAGCAAAGUGACUUUAAAUCAGACGAAGAAGAAAAACAAGCAAAUGUUUUUUAAGAUGUGCCAUAUAUAAAAUAUAUAUCCACUGAUAUUUUGUACGCUAAUAAGUGUGUGCAAACAAAAUAGAGAAUUUGCAGGUUGUUUUCUCUCUGUGCUCAAGCCAAAAACACUUAAGAAACGAUAUUACCCACAACGGUUUUUAUAAAGAAAGUAAAAAAAAAAAAACAGAAUUUAUAGGGCAGCUAAAAAAAA